AUACGCUUGUGAUCAAGGGCCUGGUCUCCCCUCAAGACACGGUCAGAGAUCAGAGGCCACACCAUCAUAGCAGUGGAGCAGGACCAGCUGGGACAGGGUCCUUCUGUGACACCUGCUGCAUCACCAGGCUGUGUGAACGGACUCAAUUGCCAGAACUCACAGAAUAGCAGUAUCAGCGCCGAAACCUCACAGGAAAAAUGAAGACAUUUUCUUUCUCUUCUGAGUAACUGAAAUAAAAUCUGGCCUUUGUGAAACCCU
rnacentral:lncRNA from 1 species